UACGUAGGUGGCAAGCGUUGUCCGGAUUUAUUGGGUUUAAAGGGUGCGUAGGCGGCCCUGUAAGUCAGUGCUGAAAUGUCCCAGCUUAACUGGGAGGGUGGCAUUGAUACUGCGGGGCUAGAGUACAGAUGAGGUAGGCGGAAUUGACGGUGUAGCGGUGAAAUGCUUAGAUAUCGUCAAGAACACCUAUAGCGAAGGCAGCUUACUAGGCUGUAACUGACGCUGAGGCACGAAAGUGUGGGGAUCAAACAGG
rnacentral:rRNA from 1 species